rnacentral:lncRNA from 1 species
ACGUUUCAUUGUGUUUGAAAUUUUCACGCUUCAAACAAGUCGCUCUGUUUCUGCUGCUACUUUUUCAUUUAUAAUCAGCUAAUUUGCCAAUAAACGCAGAAAAUUUGGUGAAAAUGUGAAAAAAAGCUUGCUGCUCUUCCCGCUGGCCCUGCGGAAGGCUAAUUUGGCUGAGAUUUUACAAGUUAGCCAUCUCCUAGUGGACUGAAUCAACUGGAACCGGCCCUCAAUGUUCUCCGCCGUGAAAUCAUUUUGUUUCUUCGAAACAGGUUCAUCAAUCAACUCGGGAGUGCGAGAGCUCGAGCCUCGUUGCCGAGCCAUGGAUGGCGCCGCGAAAGUUCUCAAUUCUUGAAUGUUCCGCCCUGAAGGAUGCCCAACACAAGAAAAGAACAUAAUUUGGAAAUAAAUAAUGCUGUGUGGAAA